rnacentral:lncRNA from 10 species
UUUAUAAUUUAGAAAAAAAGAUCUUUAUUUUAAUUUCUCUAAAAACGCCCCCAUCACUGGAGCAGGGAGCCAGCAGGAGGCACCCGGGAACCCUCUGAGUUGUUUCUGCUGCACCAGGCUCAGCUGUCUGGUGGGCCGGGCUGUGGGCGGAGGGUGGUUCACCCCAUCAUGAUCUCCAGGCUGUGCCCUAUGCAACACCCAGCCUCGGGGCACGCUGGAGAGCUGCCCCUGUUAUUCGCUCAGCAUCUGGAGGGCUCCCAACCUCCUGCCCAGGGGGCUCCUGGUUGGAUGUUUACGUCUCUGGGGAACAAACACAAGUGUGACUCAGCAGCCAGGGCAGGGGUGGGGAGGACGCCCGGCUGACUUUGGCUGAGGAAGGUGGAGGAUGGGUGCGGUGGCCAGAACCCAGUCCUCAGGGUGCAGCGGCGUGUGGCUCCAGGUUCAGGAUGCAUGGGUCCAACCCCCAGCUCUGCCCUGGCCCUGCCACUGUCCAGCUCUCUGGCCUGGAGCAGGCGGCCAAAUCUGCUCAGCUUUGGUUUUCCCAUCUGUGAAAUGGGCACAGUCAACUUCUCACAGGCUGCUGGGAGAGUUUAGGGAAAUGACAGGUGUAAAGCCAUGGCAGGUCUCCAAUAAAUGCCAGUUUUCAUGCAUUCUGGGGCUUUGAGGACAACCUCGGUUCCAGAGGUGGGGAGACUGAAGCAGGAGGGUUUGUCUUGUUGGAUUGGCAGCAUGGGUCCGUCAUCCUCAGGCAGCACCCUGAAAAACAGCGGGUGGCCUUCCAGGAAUCAGGGGUCUUCUCAAACCCACCCUCCAUCGCUUCGCUUACCCUGCUAGCAGUGGGGGCUGAGGGCUCCCUGAGGGGCGCCUACUCCACACCAGGGCUGCACGGGGCACCUUACCUAACUCAUCCCCUGUAAUCCCGGCCACAGCCCUGGGAGGCAGACCGACCCGGGCCCGAAGCCUGGAUGGGUCAGCUAUUCCUCACCAGGCCACCUCCCCGCUCUGAGCCUGUCUUCCCCUCUGUAAAAUGGGACCAUGACUCCACUCCUCGUGGGAGGAUGCUAAGGAGAAGGAACCAAGCCAGCACACUGGAGCACAUCAGAGGGCACCUCCUGGUGGCCCCAGGCCCAGCUCCCACUCAAGGACCAUGAAUGCGAAGGCACCUUGGGCCGCCGGUCCUGUAGGAACGUGGGCAGCCAUGUCCGAUGAGAACUGUUUGCCAAACUUCCAACACCUCACUGAGGCAGAAGCUCGAGCUGUCCUCCUGGAACUGCCCCUAAGGAACCAGGUGACCUCAGGCCAUGUGCAGUGAGCGCUCUGAGCCGCGAUCUCCCCCUGGGUGAAAUGGGCAUAAGGAUAGACCCAGCGCACCCCACUGGUGUGAAGGUAAAGAGGUAACAGGCUUGGUCAGUAACAGUCUCCAUAAAGCACGUAUGAAUGGGACAUGACUCUCAUGGACUCAAAGCUUACUGCUGGAAGGACCUGAGGCAGAAACUGCAAGUUGUCUGCAUAAGGACAUUCCCGUGUCUUCCUUGGUAGCAGAAGGCUUUCUGUGUUCCAGGUAGCUAUAUCCCCAGCUAAACACCGACAUUCCCCACCAUCCCUUGCAGUUAAGUAUGGCCAUGUGACUAAGUUCUGGCCAACGAAAUGGAAGAGGAAUGUUGUGUGCAACUUCUGGGAAGUCUCCUCGAGAAGUCUCGGCUUGAGAUACUCUAGCCUUCCCCUUUCUUUCUUCUGCUGCCUGGCACUUGAACAUGAUGGCUGGAGCUCCAGCAGCCAUCUUGGUCCCCAAGAUGGUCUUAAGGAAGGAAGCCAUGCAUUGAAAUGGUUCACUGGGAUGAUGGAAGGGGCCUAAGCUCCUGAUGACUGUGGAGCUGUCAUCCAAGUCCUGGACUGCCUGCUUCAGACUUAUUUUACAUGAGAAAAAUAAAUGCAUUACAGGUAGCUAAGAACCACCCUAAUUUUGGACUUUCUAUUGCAGUUGCUGAACCUAAUUCUAAGUAAUGCCAGCCCUUUGAGGUUGUAUAUGUCCAGAGUCUUGGUUGCCAGGGACAAAAAAAUCAAAUCAAAUAGGCUUAAGUAAAAGGGGGAAAGUAUUAGCUCUCAAAUUAAAAAGGUCCAGGAUCUAACUUCAGGCAUAGCUGGAUCAAAAGCCCCCAGAGAUGUCCCCAAGACCCUAUCUCUGCUCCUCUCUCCUCCUCAGCUCUCCUUUCUCCUGGGCUGGCUUCCUUCUCAGGCAGCCUCUCCAUAAGCACAAACUCCUCUCUGCCCCCAGCUGCUUCAGGCUUAUCUGCUCCCAGCUUGGCUUCCUCAGCAGAGGGACAGCUUUCCUCCCCCAGGAGGACUGACUCGCAUGGACCCACACUGGGUCACACGUCUAUCCCUGAACCAUUCUGAGGGUCCAGGGGAGUAGAAUAUGCUGACUAUUUGAGCUGCAGAGCCAGGGGUAGAGGUGGCUCCAUUGAACCACCUGGCCUGAGGGUGGUGCGGGGGCAGCUCCCUAAGGAAAAGCAGGUGCUGUCACCAGGAAGGGAGUGGAUGCUGGGCCGGCAGGACCUGCGGGGCUACCCAGGGGUCAGCUCAAUGCAUGCAGGGAAGAAGGUGAGGUUCAAGGAGGAUGGCAACCAGGCAAGCUCCCCACCAGGGCAGAGCAGAGCAAGCCAGGGCUGUGACACGGAGGUGACCUCACCAUUGUGUGGCUUCUUCUCGUGGGCUGCGGUGGCUGUGGUUCCCACACCUUGUCCCAGCCCAGUCCCUCUGUGAUUACACCCCCAGAAGGGGAGUGACAGCCCAAUGGCCUUGGAGAGCCCCUUUUUCCUCUCUGGGCCUCAGUUUGCUCAACUGGAAAGUGGCAUGAAAAUGGGGCUCUAAGGGAAGCACCUCUCACUCACCACUGCCCCUCCCCAGCAAGAAGUCUCCAAAUCAAUGCCAUGGGGCGGGGUGGGGUCUCAGGCCCCUCUGGAUCCUGCGUGCCUCUCCCAGCCCCCAGCUGGCUCACACAGCAGCCACGUGCCCCGGAAGUUGCGCUCAGCCUCUGCUCCCAGGCCUGGUCCUCUUGCCUGCUUGGAGGGUGACAGCUCAGAGGUGGAUCAACCUGUGGGCAAAGCCCGCCUAGUGGGAUGGCCCUGGCUGCACUGCUGAGGCUCUCUGGGCUUUGUCAGCUCCUUGAAGAAGGGGAAGCAGGCGCUUCUCCAGGCCCCACAGGACUUGGGCACCCCACUCCCGGGGACGUUGAGUGCCUGGCCCACGCUGCCGUCGUUGAGGUCUCUCACGGCCGUCUCAGCUGGGU